rnacentral:rRNA from 1 species
UAGAGAGAAGCUUGCUUCUCUUGAGAGCGGCGGACGGGUGAGUAAAGCCUAGGAAUCUGCCUGGUAGUGGGGGAUAACGUUCGGAAACGGACGCUAAUACCGCAUACGUCCUACGGGAGAAAGCAGGGGACCUUCGGGCCUUGCGCUAUCAGAUGAGCCUAGGUCGGAUUAGCUAGUUGGUGAGGUAAUGGCUCACCAWKGYUACCAUCCGUAACUGGUCUGAGAGGAUGAUCAGUCACACUGGAACUGAGACACGGUCCAGACUCCUACGGGAGGCAGCAGUGGGGAAUAUUGGACACUGRGCGAGAGCCUGAUCCAGC